rnacentral:rRNA from 1 species
UACGAAGGGGGCUAGCGUUGCUCGGAAUCACUGGGCGUAAAGGGUGCGUAGGCGGGUCUUUUAAGUCAGGGGUGAAAUCCUGGAGCUCAACUCCAGAACUGCCUUUGAUACUGAAGAUCUUGAGUUCGGGAGAGGUGAGUGGAACUGCGAGUGUAGAGGUGAAAUUCGUAGAUAUUCGCAAGAACACCAGUGGCGAAGGCGGCUCACUGGCCCGAGUACUGACGCUGAGGCACGAAAGCGUGGGGAGCAAACAGGG